GGCCCCGCACAAGCGGCGGAGCAUGCGGAUUAAUUCGAUGCAACGCGAAGAACCUUACCUGGGUUUGACAUAUGCCGGAAACAUCCAGAGAUGGAUGCCCCUUUUUGGUCGGUUUACAGGUGGUGCAUGGCUGUCGUCAGCUCGUGUCGUGAGAUGUUGGGUUAAGUCCCGCAACGAGCGCAACCCUCGUCCUAUGUUGCCAGCGGGUAAUGCCGGGGACUCAUAGGAGACCGCCGGGGUCAACUCGGAGGAAGGUGGGGAUGACGUCAAGUCAUCAUGCCCCUUAUGUCCAGGGCUUCACGCAUGCUACAAUGGCCGGUACAAAGAGCUGCGGGCCUGUAAGGGUGAGCGAAUCUCAAAAAGCCGGUCUCAGUUCGGAUUGGGGUCUGCAACUCGACCCCAUGAAGUCGGAGUCGCUAGUAAUCGCAGAUCAGCAACGCUGCGGUGAAUACGUUCCCGGGGCUU
rnacentral:rRNA from 1 species